CAUUCACUACGCACCCGUAGCUCAGCUGGAUAGAGUACUCGGCUACGAACCGAGCGGUCAAAGGUUCGAAUCCUUUC
rnacentral:tRNA from 1 species